AUUUAUAUAGUUUAAUAAAAACAUUACAUUUUCAUUGUAAAGAUAAAUAUAAAAUUUUAUAAAUU
rnacentral:tRNA from 1 species